rnacentral:misc_RNA from 1 species
AAGUCGUAACAAGGUUUCCGUAGGUGAACCUGCGGAAGGAUCAUUAAUGAAGUUUUUUGGGUUUAAAAUUCCAAAAAAUAAUUCACCUUUUGUGCAUUGUUAUUAGAUACACUUUGGUUAGAGCUUUGAUUUCAUUUUUUUGAAAUCAACUUCUUGCUGACUCUAUCCUGUUGAAUGGGACAGUUGGCUAUGAAGCGGCCUACCAAGGUUUUUUAUCAAACUCUUGUAUUUUGUCUGACCUAAACUACUAUAAUUAAAUCAUAACUUUCAACAACGGAUCUCUUGGCUCUC